CCGAGUUUCGCCAUUCGCCAUCUCCGCGCGUCCAUUUUGAACAUGCGGCACUACGGUCUUAUGGGUAGACGGCCUGGAUCAUAAUUUUUAAGACAAGUAAAUUUCGGCGUGCCGACACCACAAAGAAUGGUGAAGGAGGAUUGGGGGCUUUAUGUAGGCGUUAUGACAUAUUUUGGACCAGUAAAACACGGCUAAAGUGACAACGGCUACGGGUGGCAUUUAGAUAAGGCCCGACGAGGUUGAAUGUUAUCUAGCUGUAGAUAUUAUGGAUGUAAGGCUCAAAUCGUUCAACUGUAAAUCGGUGUAAAGUUUCACCCACCGCUGACGCCAUCUAUGCAGUUACCAAUGAACUGGUAAAACUGGCGGGAUUACAGCUUUGAUUCGUUUACGAGGUA